UACAGAGGUGGCAAGCGUUGUUCGGAAUCACUGGGCGUAAAGCGCACGUAGGCGGAUUCGUAAGUCAGGGGUGAAAUCCCGGGGCUCAACCUCGGAACUGCCUUUGAUACUGCGGGUCUUGAGUCCGAUAGAGGUGGGUGGAAUUCCUAGUGUAGAGGUGAAAUUCGUAGAUAUUAGGAAGAACACCGGUGGCGAAGGCGGCCCACUGGAUCGGUACUGACGCUGAGGUGCGAAAGCGUGGGGAGCAAACAGG
rnacentral:rRNA from 1 species